rnacentral:rRNA from 1 species
GCUCAGAUUGAACGCUGGCGGCAGGCCUAACACAUGCAAGUCGAGCGGUAGCACAGAGAGCUUGCUCUCGGGUGACGAGCGGCGGACGGGUGAGUAAUGUCUGGGAAACUGCCUGAUGGAGGGGGAUAACUACUGGAAACGGUAGCUAAUACCGCAUAAUGUCGCAAGACCAAAGUGGGGGACCUUCGGGCCUCAUGCCAUCAGAUGUGCCCAGAUGGGAUUAGCUAGUAGGUGGGGUAACGGCUCACCUAGGCGACGAUCCCUAGCUGGUCUGAGAGGAUGACCAGCCACACUGGAACUGAGACACGGUCCAGACUCCUACGGGAGGCAGCAGUGGGGAAUAUUGCACAAUGGGCGCAAGCCUGAUGCAGCCAUGCCGCGUGUGUGAAGAAGGCCUUCGGGUUGUAAAGCACUUUCAGCGGGGAGGAAGGCGUUAAGGUUAAUAACCUUGGCGAUUGACGUUACCCGCAGAAGAAGCACCGGCUAACUCCGUGCCAGCAGCCGCGGUAAUACGGAGGGUGCAAGCGUUAAUCGGAAUUACUGGGCGUAAAGCGCACGCAGGCGGUCUGUCAAGUCGGAUGUGAAAUCCCCGGGCUCAACCUGGGAACUGCAUUCGAAACUGGCAGGCUAGAGUCUUGUAGAGGGGGGUAGAAUUCCAGGUGUAGCGGUGAAAUGCGUAGAGAUCUGGAGGAAUACCGGUGGCGAAGGCGGCCCCCUGGACAAAGACUGACGCUCAGGUGCGAAAGCGUGGGGAGCAAACAGGAUUAGAUACCCUGGUAGUCCACGCCGUAAACGAUGUCGAUUUGGAGGUUGUGCCCUUGAGGCGUGGCUUCCGGAGCUAACGCGUUAAAUCGACCGCCUGGGGAGUACGGCCGCAAGGUUAAAACUCAAAUGAAUUGACGGGGGCCCGCACAAGCGGUGGAGCAUGUGGUUUAAUUCGAUGCAACGCGAAGAACCUUACCUGGUCUUGACAUCCACAGAACUUUCCAGAGAUGGAUUGGUGCCUUCGGGAACUGUGAGACAGGUGCUGCAUGGCUGUCGUCAGCUCGUGUUGUGAAAUGUUGGGUUAAGUCCCGCAACGAGCGCAACCCUUAUCCUUUGUUGCCAGCGGUUAGGCCGGGAACUCAAAGGAGACUGCCAGUGAUAAACUGGAGGAAGGUGGGGAUGACGUCAAGUCAUCAUGGCCCUUACGACCAGGGCUACACACGUGCUACAAUGGCAUAUACAAAGAGAAGCGACCUCGCGAGAGCAAGCGGACCUCAUAAAGUAUGUCGUAGUCCGGAUUGGAGUCUGCAACUCGACUCCAUGAAGUCGGAAUCGCUAGUAAUCGUAGAUCAGAAUGCUACGGUGAAUACGUUCCCGGGCCUUGUACACACCGCCCGUCACACCAUGGGAGUGGGUUGCAAAAGAAGUAGGUAGCUUAACCUUCGGGAGGGCGCUUACCACUUUGUGAUUCAUGACUGGGGUGAAGUCGUAACAAGGU